GACUACGGCCAUGCCACCCUGAACAAGCCCGAUCCCAUCUGAUCUCAGAAGCUAAGCAGGGUCAGGCCUGGUUAGUACUUGGAUGGGAGACCACCUAGGAAGACCAGGUACUGUAGGCG
rnacentral:rRNA from 1 species